UUAUAUUAGGUCCUUCCUAUGGGAAGCAAAGUUGUUACCAUCAACUUGGAUUGUAAUCAGAAUUGACGGCUGUCAUUUUCACAGGUUUUCUACGCUCCAUGAAUUUGUUAAGCCGAAUGAUGAGCGCGAUCUCAACCUCAUGAAUAGCUCUAUUUAAAUAAAGUGCUUCUUCAAUUUCUCAUAUGCCUCGUCAAUUAAUAAAUGAGUGUUGUGUGAUUAGGAGUGUUUCGUCAAUUUUUCAUAUAUUAUUUAGUUAUUUUUUUUGGUCCAAACUAACAUAAGAGGAGUUCAAAGAACAAUAGAAAUUCUACAUAGUUUUGAGAGGAUAUUAAGACAACAGAUUAAUUUAGCAAAAUUUACUGCUUUUUUUUGGUAGGAAUGUAAAUAGAGCUAUUCAGAAGAUUGUGUGUGAUAUUUUGAAUAUAAAUGAAAUUGAUGAGCAUAAUAUGUA